AAUAUUGCGCAAUGGAGGGAACACUGACGCAGCGACGCCGCGUGUGCGAUUAAGGUCUGCGGACCCUCAAGACCUGUCCUUGGGGGACACGGUCUUCUGCCUCUACGGUCCCUGAGCAGGAAGCCCCAGCCAUCUGCUUGCCAGCAGGCGCGGUCAUACGUAGGGGGCAACCGUUGUCCGGAAUUAUUGGGCGUACAGGGUGCGUAGGCGGCCUUUUAAGUCUGAUGUGAAAGCCCACGGCUUAACCGUGGGACUGCAUUUGAAACUGGAGGGCUUGAGUAUCGGAGAGGGUAGUGGAAUUCCCAGUGUAGCGGUGGAAUGCGUAGAUAUUGGGAGGAACACCAGUGGCGAAGGCGACUACCUGGACCAAAACUGACGCUGAGGCACGAAAGCUAGGGGAGCAAAC
rnacentral:rRNA from 1 species